rnacentral:rRNA from 1 species
GGGAGGCAGCAGUGGGGAAUAUUGGACAAUGGGCGCAAGCCUGAUCCAGCCAUGCCGCGUGAGUGAUGAAGGCCUUAGGGUUGUAAAGCUCUUUCGCUAGGGAAGAUAAUGACGGUACCUAGUAAAGAAGCCCCGGCUAACUUCGUGCCAGCAGCCGCGGUAAUACGAAGGGGGCUAACGUUGUUCGGAUUUACUGGGCGUAAAGCGUACGUAGGCGGAUUAGAAAGUUAGGGGUGAAAUCCCGAGGCUCAACCUCGGAACUGCCUUUAAAACUUCUAGUCUAGAGAUCGGGAGAGGUGUAUGGAACUCCUAGUGUAGAGGUGGAAUUCGUAGAUAUUAGGAAGAACACCAGUGGCGAAGGCGAUACACUGGCCCGAUACUGACGCUGAGGUACGAAAGCGUGGGGAGCAAACAGGAUUAGAUACCCUGGUAGUCCACGCCGUAAACUAUGAGAGCUAGCCGUUGGGAAGUUUACUUUUCAGUGGCGCAGCUAACGCAUUAAGCUCUCCGCCUGGGGAGUACGGUCGCAAGAUUAAAACUCAAAUG